rnacentral:lncRNA from 1 species
UUCUGCUUUGCACCUUGAAAAUAAGAGGCUCAUUUUCAGCUUUAGCUUAUCUUAUUUGUGAGUUCAAGUUUCAAGCCUCCGCGGUGAUUGCAAAUCAAAUGGUUGAAUUACUAAGUCUAAUUCGGCGCCGCAUGUAUUUUUAAUCAUAUGCACAUUUUUUUUGUAUGACUGAUUUAUUAAUUUGGGUCUUCUGUUAGAUGAUUUAUUAUUGGUGGGAUAAUCCUUCGGUUUUUAUUUGAAAAAACCCAUUUGAGAAUGCUGGAGUCUUUCAAUUUUAUAUAUCGGUUUGAGUGACCGAUCUUGUAAUAUGUCUUCUCUUCAUUUUGUUAUUAUACUCUACGUAAUUACUAUAUGCUUUAAUUAUAAAACAUAAGUUAGAUGUUUUGUCUACAAUGGACCAAAAAUUUACCACCAAAUAAUUAAAAGAAAAUCUUCACCCACAUUGCAAAUGAAUCCAAAAUGAAUUUAACAAUUAAUAAGAACUUCCAGUAGUACUCUUGCUAAUUAUUUUUACAGUUAAAAAGCAGUUAAUCGUAUGUGAACUCGAUUGAGAAGAUAACGAGUGUGAGCAACUGACUGACGCAAUCUCAACUAAGAUCCCUUUGCAGCAUAUGCAGUCACCUUCACAUUACUGUAGAUGACAUCAGAAACAAAGUGGCAAGCACCACCUACUGGGGAAUAUAUUUUGACAAAUGCGCAGCAGCAAGGUAUCGUUUAAUUUAUAAACAUAACUAAUUAAUUAACUAAUUCAUAGGUUAUUAUCUAACAAAAGUUCUGUGUGUUCAAACUGUACUUCGAGUACAAGACAAGUCACAAAGUUACAACUUGAGUCUUUUUUUUUUUUAAUUUUUUUAUCCCUCUCUUUUACUUCAUUGGUAUUUUGCUGUGAAAAAGCACAGAAGAUUACUGCCUCACAAUAUUUUCCGGGGGGGUUGAAUUGACUCGUCAAGAAAUUAAUAAAAUUAAAUUACAAGAAAGUCUUAGAUAGAUCGUUUAUUAAUAUUAUUUAUCAUAAUUUUAAAGGCAAUAGGGUAGGCAGAGGUCAAAUUUAUUUCAUAUUCCUUACUUCUAAGAUUUAAAUCCGGAUAAUUAGUUAAAUAGAACUGUUUGUAAACCAAUUGGCCAUGCCUGUGAAGCUAGAUAAAACCGUUAUUACAGUCAACAAAACUAUGUCACGUCUAUUUUAUUCGCUACCAUAAUUGAUUGAUUUCAUCUAUAUUUACAAAAUCUUAUUGGAUGAGUGUACAAAUGAGACAUGGUAUAUAUGUUUGUUUUAAGUUGAAUCACAUGCAGCAGCCAUAGAUAGGUAGCUCACCAUGAUCAUUUUACAAAUUAUUCAAAAAAUUUUGUUGGUUUUGGUCGUAUCACUUUGUAUCCAAAUAUUCAAGUAGUGUCUAAAUACAUAAUCCAGGGGAGCUGGAUAGCUCUCAAAGCUGGUGCAAAAACAGUACAUUUUAAUUGAGUUUCUUGAUUUUCAUUAAUUUUGGCUUACUUUGCUCUUUUCUUUAGCUUUUCAUGCUAGAAUUACUCUAAAUGCGACACCAAUACAUUGUUUUUUCUCCCUAAGUAGACUUCUUAAUGAUUUCGUUACUCAAAUUGUCAAAUAAUUUAAGUAUAAGUAGGCGCUGGCCAAAUGACUUACUUUACUUGAAGCACUGUUCAAGCACGCAACUGUGGAGGCCUCGCUGCCCUCAUGGCUGAUGCAAUCACGCCGAUUUUAGCAAGCUCAAUUCCACGUACAGUUAAUAAAGUGCAGAAAAAAACAAUAGAAACAAAUCUUCAUGGAUUUUGUAACAAGUGUAGUUUUUAUCUACGCAGUCAAGAUUUUACUUAUUUCUUCAUAAUCUACUAAUUUAUUUACUAA